rnacentral:rRNA from 1 species
UAAGGAAUAUUGGUCAAUGGGCGCAAGCCUGAACCAGCCAUGCCGCGUGCAGGAAGACGGCCCUACGGGUUGUAAACUGCUUUUGUACCGGAAUAAACCUGCUCUCGUGAGAGCAGCUGAACGUACGGUAAGAAUAAGGAUCGGCUAACUCCGUGCCAGCAGCCGCGGUAAUACGGAGGAUCCAAGCGUUAUCCGGAUUUAUUGGGUUUAAAGGGUGCGUAGGCGGCUUUUUAAGUCAGGGGUGAAAACUUGCGGCUCAACCGUAAGCUUGCCUUUGAUACUGAGGAGCUUGAAUACACUUGAGGUAGGCGGAAUGUGACAAGUAGCGGUGAAAUGCAUAGAUAUGUCACAGAACACCAAUUGCGAAGGCAGCUUACUAAAGUGAGAUUGACGCUGAGGCACGAAAGCGUGGGGAUCAAACAG